UACGUAGGGAGCAAGCGUUGUCCGGAAUCAUUGGGCGUAAAGCGCGCGUAGGUGGCUUCAUAAGUCCGUUGUGAAAGUCAAAGGCUCAACCUUUGAAAGCCGACGGAUACUGUGGAGCUAGAGUACGGAAGAGGCGAGUGGAAUUCCGGGUGUAGCGGUGGAAUGCGUAGAGAUCCGGAAGAACACCGGUGGCGAAGGCGGCCUGCUGGGCAGUGGCUGACGCUGAGGCGCGACAGCGUGGGGAGCAAACAGG
rnacentral:rRNA from 1 species